GAGACACAAAAAAGUGAUAAAAAGAAGCUAUUCGGAAGCUAACAGAAGGCAUAAGUACAAGCCAUAGUUAGCAAAAAUCCUAAUAUUAAAAAAAAAGAAAAAGAGGGGAACAGCGGCAGUUAUUUGACAAUAGUAGGAGGAGUAGAAGCACAAGUGUGGACACUUGUGAAGUUAGAGAAAGAAACAAACAAUUCCUGCUGUUGAGGAGACAUGAAAUGAAUGCAAUUGCGCAAACCAUAUUGUACUUGAACAAAUUUUCAGGCUGCAAGAAGCCUUCUGAGAAACUUUCCCAUGGUUUAUUUCCUCUUCUUUACAUCCUUAUAUGGAUAAUUAUAACCACCAUUUGUUGUGUGCCAGCCGCUGUACAUACAUUAUGACUAAUCUUCACAGAAACCAUUGUGAAAGGUGAGCACUGGUCACUUCCCUGGAGAGGAGAGGGGCUGGAGCUGAGCGAGGGAUUCAGUUGCUGGUCCAGAGCCUUCAGCUCUAAAUGGCAGAGUGGAUAUUCCAAAGUCAGUAUAUUCCAGAGACCUCGUGCCCUCCCCUUCCUUGUAUUUCUGCCUUAUAUUCCUUGCUUAUUGAUUUGAAGUGUGUGAGUAAGCAGACCCGGCUAUCUCAGGAAGCAGGGUUAUGAGCCCUCCUUUAAUCUGCCUAAUUUAAC
rnacentral:lncRNA from 1 species